GCAUAUCAAUAAGCGGAGGAAAAGAAACCAACCGGGAUUGCCCCAGUAACGGCGAGUGAAGCGGCAAGAGCUCAAAUUUGAAAGCUGGCCCCCCCGGGGUCCGCGUUGUAAUUUGCAGAGGAUGCUUCGGGAGCGGCCCCCGUCUAAGUGCCCUGGAACGGGCCGUCAUAGAGGGUGAGAAUCCCGUCUGGGACGGGGUGCCCGCGCCCGUGUGAAGCUCCUUCGACGAGUCGAGUUGUUUGGGAAUGCAGCUCUAAAUGGGUGGUAAAUUUCAUCUAAAGCUAAAUAUUGGCCGGAGACCGAUAGCGCACAAGUAGAGUGAUCGAAAGAUGAAAAGCACUUUGAAAAGAGAGUUAAACAGCACGUGAAAUUGUUGAAAGGGAAGCGCUUGCGACCAGACUCGCCCGCGGGGUUCAGCCGGCACUCGUGCCCGGUGAACUUCCCCGCGGGCGGGCCAGCGUCGGUUCGGGCGGCCGGUCAAAGGCCCUCGGAAUGUAACGCCCCCCCGGGGCGUCUUAUAGCCGAGGGUGCCAUGCGGCCAGCCCGGACCGAGGAACGCGCUCCGGCACGGACGCUGGCGUAAUGGUCGUAAGCGACCCGUCUUGAAACACGGACCAAGGAGUCUAACAUCUACGCGAGUGUUCGGGUGUCAAACCCGUGCGCGCAGUGAAAGCGAACGGAGGUGGGAACCCCCCCGGGGUGCACCAUCGACCGAUCCUGAUGUCUUCGGAUGGAUUUGAGUAGGAGCGUAGCUGUUGGGACCCGAAAGAUGGUGAACUAUGCCUGAAUAGGGCGAAGCCAGAGGAAACUCUGGUGGAGGCUCGCAGCGGUUCUGACGUGCAAAUCGAUCGUCAAAUUUGGGUAUAGGGGCGAAAGACUAAUCGAACCAUCUAGUAGCUGGUUCCUGCG
rnacentral:rRNA from 1 species